rnacentral:lncRNA from 1 species
UUUAUGUCAGUUUAUAAUGUAAUUUCAUAUUCAUUAAAGGUGUUAAUCAACAUGGUUAGAUGUUAAGUUAAGGUUAUGACCUAAAUGAUGGGUUAAACCCAUAAAGCUAAUAUUAACACAACUAAUUGUUAUUGCGAUUCUAAUGAUAUGUGUAGGGUAAUUGGAGAACAUUGUUAUACUUGUGUAGCUUACAUACAAGGCAAGUUU